CCUACGGGAGGCAGCAGUAGGGAAUCUUCCACAAUGGACGCAAGUCUGAUGGAGCAACGCCGCGUGAGUAAAGAAGGUUUUCGGAUCGUAAAGCUCUGUUGUUGGUGAAGAAGGAUAGAGGUAGUAACUGGCCUUUAUUUGACGGUAAUCAACCAGAAAGUCACGGCUAACUACGUGCCAGCAGCCGCGGUAAUACGUAGGU
rnacentral:rRNA from 1 species